AACGAACGCUGGCGGCAGGCUUAACACAUGCAAGUCGAGCGCCUCGCAAGAGGAGCGGCAGACGGGUGAGUAACACGUGGGAACAUACCCUUUACUACGGAACAACUCCGGGAAACUGGAGCUAAUACCGUAUGUGCCCUUCGGGGGAAAGAUUUAUCGGUAAAGGAUUGGCCCGCGUUGGAUUAGCUAGUUGGUGGGGU
rnacentral:rRNA from 1 species